UACGAAGGGGGCGAGCGUUGUUCGGAUUUACUGGGCGUAAAGGGCGCGCAGGCGGCCAUUCAAGUCAGGCGUGAAAGCCCCGGGCUUAACCUGGGAGGUGCGCUUGGGACUGGGUGGCUAGAGAUCGGGAGAGGAGAGUGGAAUUCCCAGUGUAGAGGUGAAAUUCGUAGAUAUUGGGAAGAACACCAGUGGCGAAGGCGGCUCUCUGGACAGAUACUGACGCUGAAGCGCGAAAGCGUGGGGAGCGAACAGG
rnacentral:rRNA from 1 species